UGGAUGGGGUUGCGAUCGCCCCACGAGGCCACGGCUGGAGAAUCGCGUCCUGAGAUCCCGAGCAACCGGAGGACGCGUUGUG
rfam:Ochrobactrum sp. P6BS-III NODE_22_length_83547_cov_48.4281, whole genome shotgun sequence.